rnacentral:rRNA from 1 species
GCCUACGGGACGCAGCAGUGGGGAAUAUUGCACAAUGGGGGAAACCCUGAUGCAGCAACGCCGCGUGAGUGAGGAAGUCAUUCGUGAUGUAAAGCUCUAUCAGCAGGGAAGAAAUUGGACGGUACCUGACUAAGAAGCCCCGGCUAACUACGUGCCAGCAGCCGCGGUAAUACGUAGGGGGCAAGCGUUAUCCGGAUUCACUGGGUGUAAAGGGAGCGUAGACGGCCAGGCAAGCCUGGAGUGAAAGCCCGGGGCCCAACCCCGGGACUGCUCUGGGAACUGUGCGGCUGGAGUGCGGGAGGGGC